rnacentral:rRNA from 1 species
CCUACGGGUGGCAGCAGUGGGGGAUAUUGCACAAUGGGGGAAACCCUGAUCCAGCGACGCCGCGUGUGGGAAGACGGUCUUCUGGAUUGUAAACCACUGUCCCCAGGGACGAAAAUGACGGUACCUGGGGCGGAAGCUCCGGCAGACUACGUGCCAGCAGCCGCGGUCAUUCGUAGGGGGCACGGGUUGUCCGGAAUUACUGGGUGUAUAGGGAGCGUGGGCGGGGAUGCAAGUUGGGGGUCAAACCUACCGGCGCAACCGAUAGUGGCACUUAAAACUGCAGCUCUUGAGUGAAGGAGAGGCAGGCGGAAUGCCUAGUGUAGCGGUGAAAUGCGUAGAUAUUAGGAGGAACACCAGUGGCGAAGGCGGCCUGCUGGGCUUUUACUGACGCUGAGGCUCGAAAGUGUGGGGAGCAAACAGGAUUAGAUACCCGAGUAGUC